CAAAAAAGGUAGAGUAAACCUCUGCCUAGUCAUAUUUUCAAGAUGGCAAAACCUUCAAAUUGCGGGAAAGUCUUAAAGACAAAUCUACCAAGUUAAUACAGUAAUGUGAUUAAUGGAACAGGUAAUGACUCGUUGUACGGUAAAAACGAUUUGUAUGAAGAAAUGAAAUAGAUCAUCCGCAGCCAAACACCAAAAAUUAAAUAAAAAGAUGGUGCGCAGUUCAUCGACUAAAUGUAGGUUGGUGAAUAAUUAUAUACGACUCUACUUCUUCUUUUGUUCUUUUUUUAAUAAAAAAAGUUUUUAAGAAAAGAUUGGACAAAAAUUAUUUGCUUAAGAUAUAGUCAGGCAUAACCUAAAGUUGUGG
rnacentral:ncRNA from 1 species